UUUAAACAUUAAUUUCCGUUUUAAGCAACCUUUCUGUUUGCUACCAAAUAAGGGACGACUGCCCUGUAUUUAAGCUCUUUAAGUUCUGUUUUUGUUUUUUUAUGACAAUACCAUGAUUUUAUGCCAGUCUACUAAAUGUUAAACUUCUGAAUAACAUAUAGUAACAGGCUACAAUCAAGCUCCAGUUAAGAUAUAAAAAGGUGAAGAGCAAAAGAAGAAAAGAAAGGGAAAAAGAGGAGAGAAGGAGAAAGGGAGGAAGAAGAUAGUGGGGAAAGAACUGGCUACAAAAAAAUUACACGAAAGUAAACAUAAC